rnacentral:rRNA from 1 species
CCCUUAGAUGUUCUGGGCUGCACGCGCGCUACACUGAUGAAUUCAACGAGCACUAACCUGUGCCGAAAGGUUCGGGUAAUCUUGUGAAAUUUCAUCGUGAUGGGGAUUGAUUAUUGCAAUUUUUAAUCAUAAACGAGGAAUGCCUAGUAAGCGUGAGUCAUCAGCUCACGUUGAUUACGUCCCUGCCCUUUGUACACACCGCCCGUCGCUCCUACCGAUUGAAUGUGCCAGUGAAAAGUUCGGAUUGGAGAUAGGAAACGGCAACGUAUCCUAUUUCCGAGAAAAUCUUUAAACUUUCCCAUUUAGAGGAAGGAGAAGUCGUAACA